UGUUUAGCAAGCAACACUAAUUCCUCUUUCUUUAAAUUAUCAAACCCCUCCAGGUCAGGCGUUUUCAAAAAUUUACCGGCAUCAAAUGCCAUUUUGUAGAAUUUUGUUGGCUAGUUAUAAUAAAAAUUACUAAACAAAUUUUGAAUAAUAUAAUUCAGUAUCCCGGACGAGCCCCCAAUUUCUGUUACGGCCAGAAAUCGCCUUUAAAUUGUAGCCAACAAAAGACACAAAUCAAUAGUAAAAUUUAA
rnacentral:lncRNA from 1 species